GAUGAACGCUGGCGGCGUGCUUAAUACAUGCAAGUCGAGCGAACGGACGAGAAGCUUGCUUCUCUGAUGUUAGCGGCGGACGGGUGAGUAACACGUGGAUAACCUACCUAUAAGACUGGGAUAACUUCGGGAAACCGGAGCUAAUACCGGAUAAUAUUUUGAACCGCAUGGUUCAAAAGUGAAAGACGGUCUUGCUGUCACUUAUAGAUGGAUCCGCGCUGCAUUAGCUAGUUGGUAAGGUAACGGCUUACCAAGGCAACGAUGCAUAGCCGACCUGAGAGGGUGAUCGGCCACACUGGAACUGAGCCACGGUCCAGACUCCUACGGGAGGCAGCAGUAGGGAAUCUUCCGCAAUGGGCGAAAGCCUGACGGAGCAACGCCGCGUGAGUGAUGAAGGUCUUCGGAUCGUAAAACUCUGUUAUGAGGGAAGAACAUAUGUGUAAGUAACUGUGCACAUCUUGACGGUACCUAAUCAGAAAGCCACGGCUAACUACGUG
rnacentral:rRNA from 1 species